rnacentral:rRNA from 1 species
GACGAACGCUGGCGGCGUGCCUAAUACAUGCAAGUAGAACGCACAGUUUAUACCGUAUCUUGCUACACCAUAAACUGUGAGUUGCGAACGGGUGAGUAACGCGUAGGUAACCUGCCUGGUAGCGGGGGAUAACUAUUGGAAACGAUAGCUAAUACCGCAUAAUAUUAAUUAUUGCAUGAUAAUUAAUUGAAAGGUGCAAUUGCACCACUACCAGAUGGACCUGCGUUGUAUUAGCUAGUAGGUGAGGUAACGGCUCACCUAGGCGACGAUGCAUAGCCGACCUGAGAGGGUGAUCGGCCACACUGGGACUGAGACACGGCCCAGACUCCUACGGGAGGCAGCAGUAGGGAAUCUUCGGCAAUGGACGAAAGUCUGACCGAGCAACGCCGCGUGAGUGAAGAAGGUUUUCGGAUCGUAAAGCUCUGUUGUAAGAGAAGAACGGGUGUGAGAGUGGAAAGUUCACACUGUGACGGUAUCUUACCAGAAAGGGACGGCUAACUACGUG